rnacentral:rRNA from 1 species
UUGCACGCUGGCGGCAGGCCUCACCCCUGCAAGUCGCGCGGAUGAAGGGAGCUUGCUCCUGGAUUCAGCGGCGGACGGGUGAGUAAUGCCUAGGAAUCUGCCUGGUAGUGGGGGAUAACGUCCGGAAACGGGCGCUAAUACCGCAUACGUCCUGAGGGAGAAAGUGGGGGAUCUUCGGACCUCACGCUAUCAGAUGAGCCUAGGUCGGAUUAGCUAGUUGGGGGGGUAAAGGCCUACCAAGGCGACGAUCCGUAACUGGUCUGAGAGGAUGAUCAGUCACACUGGAACUGAGACACGGUCCAGACUCCUACGGGAGGCAGCAGUGGGGAAUAUUGGACAAUGGGCGAAAGCCUGAUCCAGCCAUGCCGCGUGUGUGAAGAAGGUCUUCGGAUUGUAAAGCACUUUAAGUUGGGAGGAAGGGCAGUAAGUUAAUACCUUGCUGUUUUGACGUUACCAACAGAAUAAGCACCGGCUAACUUCGUG